rnacentral:rRNA from 1 species
UGGGGAAUAUUGCACAAUGGAGGAAACUCUGAUGCAGCGACGCCGCGUGAGCGAUGAAGUAUUUCGGUAUGUAAAGCUCUAUCAGCAGGGAAGAUAAUGACGGUACCUGAGUAAGAAGCUCCGGCUAAAUACGUGCCAGCAGCCGCGGUAAUACGUAUGGAGCAAGCGUUAUCCGGAUUUACUGGGUGUAAAGGGAGUGUAGGCGGCUUUGCAAGUCAGAUGUGAAAGCCCGGGGCUCAACCCCGGGACUGCAUUUGAAACUGUCGUACUAGAGUGUCGGAGGGGUAAGCGGAAUUCCUAGUGUAGCGGUGAAAUGCGUAGAUAUUAGGAGGAACACCAGUGGCGAAGGCGGCUUACUGGACGAUAACUGACGCUGAGGCUCGAAAGCGUGGGGAGCAAACAGGGAUUA